GGAAAGAUGAAAAGAACUUUGAAAAGAGAGUUAAACAGUACGUGAAAUUGUUGAAAGGGAAACGAUUGAAGUCAGUCAUACCAACGGGAAAUCAACCUUUUGAGCUUGGUUUCGUGGGUUUUGAAGAGUUUCAAAGCCUUCGGAUUCGCGAGAUUGGGAUCUCUCGGUGUACUUUCUCGUACGGUUAGUCAACAUCGGUUUUGAAUGUCAUAAAAUGACUGGAGGAAUGUAGCUUCGAUCUCGUAUUGAAGUGUUAUAGCCUUUGGUAGAUGUGAUGUUUGAGACCGAGGAUUGCAACGGAUACCCUUCAGGGCUAUUCGUCUGAUCUCUGAUACGUUGCCUUGAUGUUGAAAGCUUGCUUAUGAUGUUAGGGUAUUACGGUCAAAAGGUUAGAACGAAUUACAUUCGUUAAGGAUGUUGACGUAAUGACUUUAAACGACCCGUCUUGAAACACGGACCA
rnacentral:rRNA from 1 species